UGUGGAGGGUAGCAGCGUCGGGCUCAGGUUGUCUCAGGCCCGGAGCUUCCCUCGGGUGUAAUUCCCCAGCUGCUGACCUCCGAGUUAUUCUCAGUCCCCUGUCCCUCACAUCCAAAUAGGCUGGAGUUUAAUAACACCUCCGCCGUCACUCCCAAACACUGAUAGAGCGUUUUGCUCCUAAUAAGUUUAAAGUAUUAGAUGAAUUCACUGAUUACUUCAUUCUCGUGAGCGGUGAGGCUGGAACUAAGAUCGUCACGUUUACAAACGUGCUUCGAAAUUGCUCCCAAGGUCAAGGAGCUGUUUGUGAGCGAGCUGUCACCAGAUUGUGCCCACCGGGGUCCCACACUUAGGGAAAAGCCCAAACCUGGAAAGUCCGCCGAACUCUGGCUGGUUUCCCAUCCCUCACCCAAACUGCAGGAUUUGGCGGAGACGAUGGGGCAUCAUCCUGGACUCCUGAAAUGUUUAAUAGAAACGCAAACGCAAAUGAGACCGGUCAGGCCAUGCGGAAACUGUCACCUUUAGCAAGUAGAAGUACAAGGAAGUUCCUGAAGAAGAUUGAAUUUAAAUUCAGCCCCCCAACCCCGCACCGAGGGCAGGGGUGGGGUCCCUGGGUCACUCACACCUUCCUCUGUUUCCCACUUCACCUAAAAAAAACCGAGCCACAAGAUUAACUGUUGGGAGAGAAAUACCGCGAUGGUGUCAUAAAAAUCACCAAAAUCUCCUUCGCCGGAACAGAACUUCAACUUUGGUCUAUUGCGAUCACACCUGCAUCCCCAGGGCCUGGAAACAAGCCUGACACACAGCAGUCUGGGGAUAUGUCACAUGACAACUGAAGUUUGUGAGUUAGCUGAGAGCAUCUCCCCACAUUCCUCCGGGAACCCUAAGGAACAAAGUGUCACAUGAACAGUGGUCCUUCCUCGCUGCACCCGGCCUCCUGAGUCAGCUCAGUUCCUGAGCCUCCUUUUCUGAUUUCAGCUCCACCCUCUUCCCCCCUCGGUGGCGCCUGAACUUCCAUGCCUGCCCCAGUGUAUUACCUUAUUUGGUUCUCGGGCCCACAAAGAAGUCGGGAAAAGGAUCCAGGCCAGAAUAAAAGUAUUGCUUGUGCAGCUAGUGGGUGAGAAAUCUUUAUUUUAGUGACCCUGGCUUGUGCUCUGAAAGUCACAAAUACAGGGAAGCAAGUUUAGUCUCAAAAACAACCACAAAAAGCAACUGAAGAGGGCAGAGUGGAGGUGCCAAUGUCACAAUUUCUAAUGUGUGCUUUUUUUUUUUUUUUUUUUGCCACACUGCACAGCUUGUGGGAUCUUAGUUCCCUGACCAGGGAUUGAACUUGGGCCACAGCAGUGGAAGCGCCGAGUCCUAACCACUGGACCGCCAGGGAAUUCCCCAUUUAAUAUGUGCUUAAUUCUGUGAUUAGAAAGAGAUUUGUCUUUAUUCAGCUCCUUCAUGGCUGGCUUUCU